rfam:Enterococcus pallens ATCC BAA-351 genomic scaffold acvKb-supercont1.5, whole genome shotgun sequence.
CUGAACUUUAUUGAUAAGAUACUGGAAUGAUGGAGUAACGCCCUGAAACGUAUCCUCUAAUAUGCCCUAACCUUUUAUCGUAACGUAUACGGUAAAGGCAACCAUAGCUGGGUAACAUAUGCAUGAAAGUAAACCGAAACAAUUUAGCUGUCGAAAGCCAAAAGAAUUAAUAAAUCUAAUGGAACUGGACGAUUAAUGUAUGGAGUCAAUAAA